AGAAGUCGAGGUGUGAGCAGUAGCGGU
rnacentral:piRNA from 1 species